rnacentral:misc_RNA from 1 species
AAAUCCUUGUUGUAUGAUAGAUCUCUGUAUGAAGAUGCCAAUAAUCAGAAAUGAUAAUAAGAAUCCUUGCUCUCGAAAACAAUCUAUAUUCUAUCAUUUUCUUGGUGAAAACAAUCCCCUCUGUUCAGGAUAGUGUACAAGAAGCAAUCUUAAUCUUAAAGCUACAAAGAGCCCUAUGGAUGAUGCAUCUGCUUAAUAAGUGCCUCACGCAUUGAGCAUGAUCCUAGAGAAAUGUAGGCUUGCAUGCUACAAUCUAAAUAGAAUAAUAAUAAUACUACUACUAAUAAUAAUAAUAGCUGACGAUGGCCCAAACAUAUUUAAUUAUGAGACAGAUCCUAAGCAUCAAAGAGGAGAUAAAUUGCAGGCCAAGGAUCUACAUAGUUUGAAGUUCUUGUAAGUCUGAGAUAUAUCCAGACAGCUGUCCUUUCAAUCCCAUGCUUGACAAUGUUAUGGAAGUCACACGUGAAUUGAUGCACUUUA